GAUAUAAUGGCAGGAAGAAGGUGCGUCUUGCUCUUUUGCUGGUUCCUGUUUGCUGUUUGCAGCAACCAUGAACUGCUGCCCAGCCAUGCCCGCCUGCCUUGGAGCCAACUGAGUGUGGACUGAAACCUCCAAAAACUCCAACUCCUGUGGAAAUGGUGUCCAAACCACUGGAUUUCAAGUUACAUUACUGCCAUACAACUGAUAACCGUGGAAAAGACCCAAAAAUAAGUUGAGAACAGCUAGCAAAGGAAGAUUGACAGUCUCUAGCAGCUAAUCCAAAUAUUUCAGAGAAAAUUCUCAUAAACAAGAGCUUUCUAAAAAGUCAUUUCCCAAGAUGGCACACACCUUUGGAAAAUGAACAAGAGCCGUCUGUGGGCUCCAGGCAAAACCACCUUUGGUCAUCUUUCAGGCUUAGUCACACGUCUUGAUUCUGUCACCUGCAAGCAUGAGAACUUGCUUUAGUGACAAUGGAAGUUGACACUCCACAAUGGUAUAAAAUUAUAGGCAAAAACUUUAAUUGGAAAGUAAGAGAGACGACAGGGAAAGGACUCUGGCUUGAGCAGCUGGCGGUAACAUAUCUCUGAUGAAGAGGAUCAGAUUGGCUCUUCCAUGCAAAGGAAUGGAAACCAGCUUUAUGGGGGAUCAAACUCAUGAUCUCGCAUUUGCCAAGCAGGCACUUAUGCCACUGAGCUAAACCCCCAGCCCAAACCUCUUCUCUUUUAAAUUAACCACCCAAUAGCUCUGCCUUAAUGUCCAGAGACAGUAAGCAGGGAGAGUUCCCAGCAGGCCUCAGCGUGCUGCCCCACUAAAUUGCUUGAUAUGUCCUUCGUUUCGUAUCUUCCUCCAAUCCUGGACAGAAACUGCAAUACACUGUUAUCAUUGUGUACCACUGAGUCAAAAUUUGUUUUAUUUCUAAGAUGUGUUGUGGAGAAACAAAGAAGCACUGUGGAAAAACUACGCAAGUGUAUGUAUGUCUACCUGUGAAAAUUUGUCUUUACUCAUUUAAAAAAAUACCUUCUUGUUCUGUAAUAGGUCAAGGUGACCAGGGAAGGCAAAGAUUCUAGAGAAUGAUAAGAUAUUUUCUAGUCUUGUGUUAUUCUCCAAGUCUAUUCCUCUGGGUGAAUGUUACAUACUUUUGGAACCAAGGAAUAUGUCUAUGUCGCAAAAUUUGUUUUAAUUAUAGAUUCAGCCAAGGAUGGGAACUUGACAACUAAUGUAGCUAUUGUUUGGAGCCCAAACUCAUAAUGCUUCUAACUAUAUUGUAAAUAAAGAGCUAAAACA